AUUCGAGCAAUCUUUCCAACACAAAUACAACAUACUUUAGUUACAAAAAUAGCAAGAACAACACAUAUGAGGAAGAAAGCAUGAAAAUAUGCACUUCAAUCAUGGUUUUCCAUUGCCGCAGAAACUUACAAAGAUUUUUCCUGCGUUGUUUAAGAUUCCAGCUGAACCAGAAGCAUAGUUGACGCCUCAAAAAAUCACCGCCCCAGUCGUGGAAGGCGCCAAGUAUGGGGUAGUGAAUGUCAUGAACCCAAGCUCCUGACCUGGCAGGAAAGCAGGAUUUGUACCGAGGAAAGAGCAUAGUUAAAGCAGCCUGCUGUGAAGGACUUGGAGAUGAAUUCGGUACUCUGUUUCUAGCUUAAGAGCCUUUAUAUAUUUUUUUAUUUUCUGAAUUCCGUUCUAAACUCAUAAUAGCUUAAAAGUAUUUAUAUUUUUUGAUCGUGUUGGUCUUCCAAUGGUGCAUUUUAUAAACUAGCAAAUCCCACCUAUAAUCUUUUAUCUACUGAACAAAUGGAGGCUAAAUUAGAUACUAUACCCCUGAAGUUUGUCCUUAGUUUAAAAAAUAUCUCUAUUUUCAAAAGUUGCAAUAUUACCUUGUCUUUUUUAUAAAGGUUUCAAAAUAACACUUGGAGUGAAAAAAAUCAUUAGAAUUUUGGACAGAAAGUUGAGUGUCUGGAUGUUGUUUUUUUGACGUAAUCCAUGCAAUCAUUGUUGGAAUAAAUGAUAGUGAUCAUUCGUGUAGAGUUGUAUCGUUUCAUAAGUGAACAUGUCUUUUCGUAAAUAACCAACUUGAUGAAGAGACACGACUAUUCAAAUGGAUGAAUAGUCUAUAAAUAUGUCUCUUCUUCAAAUUGCAUUUUAUAACUUUUUCAUAAUCACUUUUCUCCUUGAAACUCUCUCUUGUUUUAUCAAGUUUUUGAAGUUCGGUUUAUUUUCACAAAGUAUAGUCUGUUAGAUCUUGUGGACGAGGUGCUGCUUCUAUAAAAAAGUUAGUCUAUUCUAUCAUGGGAUACAAUUACUCAAGAAACUCAAGCACUAGAGUGAGUAAUAUUGUCUUAAGGAGACAACGUGAAAUCAUUGGGCUCGGGAUCCUUCGUGUUUAUAAGGUUAUGUAUUUUUUCAUAUUUUUGGUAAAAUUAUUCAUAUAACAAUCUUAAGACAAUUUUAAUUGGAUUUGGUUUUAUUUUUGUCAUUAUGCAUGAUGCAAUCAUUAAAUAAUUGAUAUGAGAUUUCAUUUUUUUUCUAUUACUCAUACAUGGAUCUUAUUGUUUUUUCAUGAAUGUGUUUUAUGUAAAUUUGUCGUGAGGUCUUUUUUGGUUCUUUUUUUUUUUUUUUUAAAGAAAAAAAUCCAUAAGUUAAAUCUGAGUUGUAUGUGUGGGUUUUACCUGAUUUUAGUGCAUUUGGUUUUUUAGUUGAUUUAGUGUUAUGACUCAACAAAUGAGAAUCUUGUUGGAAUCAUCAAAUUAGGAUGUAAAAUGAGAUUUACCUUUUAUUCCUCCAAAUCUUCAUCUCAUUCUAAGUAAAACUUCAUGCAUCGAAAUUGUUAAUAUUCUCGUUUUAUUUAUUUUCUGAUUUUCAUGUGCUUUAUUUAUGCAUGAAGUUUUGUAGUGUGAAAAUUGUUAAUUUGCACUCAAGUGAUAGUUGCAUAAAAGUGUUUUCAAGUGAGAUUGGCAUGAAAUGAUUUUGAAGAGUUUCUGAAUUUAUUUUAUUAUUUUCCGUGCGUUUUUGUUCUAUAUUUACUCUUCGACUGGAUUUAGAAAAACAAAAAUAAACACAGAAAAAAACCAGAUUUUGUUCUUUCCUUCCCUUAUUCUGUGCUCUUCACUUUGCAUCACAAACCCCACGAAAAUCUUUGAAGAAUUUUUUUCCUUAUCUACCUUUUUCUUGAUGUAAUCACUAACUUCUAGUGAUUUUGCAAAAGAUGUUGAUAAAUUUUGUUUGAUUUUGGGUUGUGGAUUUGUGGUUUUUAAGCAUCAUGAGAAACACUUAUCAUGUUUGAUGGAAUGAGCAAUGUGGAUUCUAAACUUAAAAUUUGAUGGCAAGAUAAAUUGUUAUUCAUCAACUUGGGCAAAUUUUUUUUUAAUACUAUAUUUUCUUUGGCAUAUAUAUAAUUUUGGCAUGCGUUGAUCGUUUGGCAUAUGUGCAGUGGGUUAUUUUUAUUUUAUGCACUAAUUUUUAUUUUACAGUUAUAUCUAUGACAACAGGGUUUUAAGUCGUGUACUGCAAAAAAUUGGCGUAUUACGGUCAAUUGUUACUAUUAUAUAAUGUUCUCAUAUUAUUUUACAUUUCAAGCCUAAUGAAUAAUGUCCCAAGUUUAUUUGUUGUCUUAUUGAUUUUAUUUUGUGAGAAA